UGAACUGGAGGACUUUGAAGAGGACGAGGCCAGACCUCUUCUCAAGCUGGUGUGGGAAGUGAACACCAGCAUGAAGAUGAGGGACGUUGAGUUUGAAGCUAGAAGGCUGCUGAACUCACCAGAGACCAUCCCUCCUCAGUUUCAACAUCCCAAGAUCAUCAGCACGGCUCAGAAGCACGCCAGGAGCCUGACAGAGCAGCAGCAGCAGCAGCAGGAGG